UGCAAGUGAGUGAGCAACUAAAAAUUACUAUACUUUUAAUGUGAAUGGUUCGAUUGUAGCUUAGGCAAUGACAAGACUGGCAGCGAUUUACUAUUUCUCCUCUUUUCUUUUCGGCGUAACGUCUCAAAUAGAUCAAAAACUGCUUCUCAGCUGUUCUACGAGUAAGUAUGGUAUCGCGCUACUUGGGCGGUGGUUUUCUUCGUCUGUUAUUUUCGUCUGUUUUCCACUGUAACUCGGUCAAUUUUGAACCGAUUGACUUGAAAUUUUGUACACGGGUAGAUACUAUACCUAUCUCACCGCAUUCCAAGAAUUGUGUCAAUUGGUUCAAGAUUGACUGAGUUAUAGUGGAAAACAGACGAAUAUAGAAGCCACCGCCCAAGUAGCGCGAUUCCCUAUAAGAAUUGGGACUCGUAGAAAACUGAUAGGAAUUUGGCACCGUAACGGGACUGGGAUAUUGAAAGAAGGAAAUUAAUACAAAGAUAAACAUAUCAAUAGCUAUGAUGCUAUAUUUACCCAAAACUCAAAUUAUAGCAAUGAAUAAAAUAAAAAAUACGGAAGAGUCUGAUAAAAUUUCUAGAAGUUGCAAUGCUUUUGUUUUUUACUUCAUAAUAUGAAACAGCAGACAAUAAAAUAAAGAAGGUAAACUAUGUAUUGGUUAUAUCUGCGAUAAAUUUUCUCCGAUUUUGACAAUAUUGAUCUCAUUUAAUCCAGAUUUAUUUUUUUCAUCAAAAACAAAUCCGACUGAACCGAUCUGGUCAUCGUGAGUUAAGAAAAAACCCGAAUUGCCAUACACGUGGAAUUUUUCAUAGACCAGCUGCAAUUGGCUUCUUUAGUGGUGUUGAGAUAAUUCCAUAUUCACAAUCUACAUGCCAAACUGAGCCGAAAUCCAAAUUUUCAUGAACUUUGGUGCCCGGGAACCUAUUUAAAAAUCGAUUUAAAGUUUGUAUGGGAGCGAUUUGUCGAAUCAACCCUCGUCGCAUUUCGUACUGGGCGGAGC